rnacentral:lncRNA from 1 species
UGCGUUUUCAUCACCCCAAGUUGGCAAGUUACUCAAAGGAUACGUGAGGGUUUGGGAACUCUCCUUGGUUUCCUGGGCACUGGGAAGCCCAGGCUUCUCUAAUCACUGGGAAGCGAGACGAUUUAGCCUCACAAUUAGCAAACAUUUGCUAAAUGCAACUAGGUGCCCUGUUCUGGCUGCAGGCCAAGCUCCGUGCCAGGUUUCAUCUUACUUCAUUCUGAUUAUCGACAUCUCACUGCCGAGGAAACAGACUUGCAGACACCGAUGAGAAAACUUAGGAGCCAGCUGGGGAGGGAGGACUGGCCCAAAGUCACAGUCAACAGGAGGAAGCGGCGCGCGCCUAGCUACGCAAAACCGCAGGAUGGAAAAACGCAGAGCAGAACGCACCCUGACCUGGCAGAGCAUCUGUAGUGGAGAGAAUGGGA